GACGAACGCUGGCGGCGUGCUUAACACAUGCAAGUCGAACGGAAAGGCCCUGCUUUUGUGGGGUGCUCGAGUGGCGAACGGGUGAGUAACACGUGAGUAACCUGCCCUUGACUUUGGGAUAACUUCAGGAAACUGGGGCUAAUACCGGAUAGGAGCUCCUGCUGCAUGGUGGGGGUUGGAAAGUUUCGGCGGUUGGGGAUGGACUCGCGGCUUAUCAGCUUGUUGGUGGGGUAGUGGCUUACCAAGGCUUUGACGGGUAGCCGGCCUGAGAGGGUGACCGGCCACAUGGGGACUGAGAUACGGCCCAGCCUCCUACGGGAGGCAGCAGUGGGGAAUAUUGCACAAGGGGCGGAAGCCUGAUGCAGCAACGCCGCGUGCGGGAUGACGGCCUUCGGGUUGUAAACCGCUUUCGCCUGUGACGAAGCGUGAGUGACGGUAAUGGGUAAAGAAGCACCGGCUAACUACG
rnacentral:rRNA from 1 species